CAUGUCCUUUUGAUGUUAAUUUAAGGUCUAAUCUGCUCAAUGAUUAUAUUAAAUUGCCGCAGUAAUUUGACUGUGCAAAGGUAGCAUAAUAAUUAGUUUCUUGAUUAGGAACUGGGAUGAACGAUUGGACAAGAAGAUCUCUGUCUCUUUCUAAAGAUUUUUUAAUUUUAUUUUUAAGUGAAAAAGCUUAAAUUUCUAUAAAAGACGAGAAGACCCUAUAGAGUUUAAUAGGUUAAUUUAAUUCAAUUUUAGUAAAUUUUUUAUUUUAACUUAUUUAGUUGGGGUGACUUGAAGAUUAAAUUAAUUCUUUGAUUAAAAAAUUGGAUAUUUCUAAAUACUAAAUCUGUAGUUUAUAAUACUAAAAUAAAUUACCUUAGGGAUAACAGCGUAAUUUUUCUUAAAAGCUCUAAUUGAAAGGAAAGUUUGCGACCUCGAUGUUGGAUUAAAAUUAAUUUUUGGUGCAGUAACUUAAAAAUUAGGUCUGUUCGACCUUUAAAAUUUUACAUGAUCUGAGUUUAAACCGGCGUGAGCCAGGUUGGAUUCUAUCUUUAAAAAUAUAAUAUAUUUUAGUACGAAAGGACCAAAUAUGUAUUAAAUUA
rnacentral:rRNA from 1 species